CGGACGGGUGAGUAACACGUGGAUAACCUACCUAUAAGACUGGGAUAACUUCGGGAAACCGGAGCUAAUACCGGAUAAUAUUUUAAACCGCAUGGUUCAAAAGUGAAAGACGGUCUUGCUGUCACUUAUAGAUGGAUCCGCGCUGCAUUAGCUAGUUGGUAAGGUAACGGCUUACCAAGGCAACUAUGCAUAGCCGACCUGAGAGGGUGAUCGGCCACACUGGAACUGAGACACGGUCCAG
rnacentral:rRNA from 1 species